AUACGGAGGGUGCAAGCGUUAUCCGGAAUCAUUGGGUUUAAAGGGUCCGUAGGCGGGCUAAUAAGUCAGGGGUGAAAUCCCACAGCUUAACUGUGGAACUGCCCUUGAUACUGUUGGUCUUGAGUUACGGUGAAGUGGUUAGAAUGUGUAGUGUAGCGGUGAAAUGCAUAGAGAUUACACAGAAUACCGAUUGCGAAGGCAGAUCACUAACUGUAUACUGACGCUAAUGGACGAAAGCGUGGGGAGCGAACAGGAUUAGAAACCCUAGUAGUCC
rnacentral:rRNA from 1 species